GACGAACGCUGGCGGCGUGCCUAAUACAUGCAAGUUGAGCGAUGAAGAUUGGUGCUUGCCCCAAUUUGAAGAGCAGCGAACGGGUGAGUAACGCGUGGGGAAUCUGCCUUUGAGCGGGGGACAACAUUUGGAAACGAAUGCUAAUACCGCAUAACAACUUUAAACAUAAGUUUUAAGUUUGAAAGAUGCAAUUGCAUCACUCAAAGAUGAUCCCGCGUUGUAUUAGCUAGUUGGUGAGGUAAAGGCUCACCAAGGCGAUGAUACAUAGCCGACCUGAGAGGGUGGUCGGCCACAUUGGGACUGAGACACGGCCCAAACUCCUACGGGAAGCAGCAGUAGGGAAUCUUCGGCAAUGGACGAAAGUCUGACCGAGCAACGCCGCGGGAGUGAAGAAGGUGUUCGGAUCGUAAAACUCUGUUGGUAGGGAAGAACGUUGGUGAGAGUGGAAAGCUCAUCAAGUGACGGUAACUACCCAGAAAGGGACGGCUAACUACGUG
rnacentral:rRNA from 1 species